rnacentral:rRNA from 1 species
UACGGAGGUGGCAAGCGUUGUCCGGAAUUACUGGGUGUAAAGGGCGUGUAGGCGGGAAAGCAAGUCCGAUGUGAAAACCCAUGGCUUAACUGUGGAGCUGCAUCUGAAACUGUUUUUCUUGAGUAUCGGAGAGGAAAGUGGAAUUCCAAGUGUAGCGGUGAAAUGCGUAGAGAUUUGGAGGAACACCAGUGGCGAAGGCGGCUUUCUGGACGAUAACUGACGCUGAGGCGCGACAGCGUGGGGAGUAAACAGG